rnacentral:rRNA from 1 species
UUGGUUAAGCUACUAAGAGCACACGGAGGAUGCCUAGGCGCUAGGAGCCGAAGAAGGACGUGGCGAACAACGAUACUGCCUCGGGGAGCUGUAAGCAAGCUUCGAUCCGGGGAUGUCCGAAUGGGGAAACCCAGCUGAUGUAAUAGUCAGUUACCCGUAUCUGAAUACAUAGGAUGCGAGGAGGCAUACCCAGGGAACUGAAACAUCUAAGUACCUGGAGGAAGAGAAAACAAGAGUGAUUCCGUCAGUAGCGGCGAGCGAACGCGGAACAGCCUAAACCAGAGAGCUUGCUCUCUGGGGUUGUGGGACGUCUCACAUGGAGUUACAAAGGAAUGUAUUAGGCGAAGAGGUCUGGAAAGGCCCGCUAUAAGAGGUAAAAGCCCUGUAGCCGAAAGUAUAUUCCCUCCGAGACGGAUCCCGAGUAGUGCGGGGCACGUGAAACCCCGUAUGAAUCCAGCAGGACCAUCUGCUAAGGCUAAAUACUCCCUAGCGACCGAUAGUGAAGCAGUACCGUGAGGGAAAGGUGAAAAGCACCCCGGAAGGGGAGUGAAAUAGAACCUGAAACCGUGUGCUUACAAGAAGUCAGAGCCCGAUUCUAUGGGUGAUGGCGUGCCUUUUGUAGAAUGAACCGGCGAGUUACGUUCCCAUGCAAGGUUAAGGCGAGAAGCCGUAGCCGCAGCGAAAGCGAGUCUGAAUAGGGCGACUUAGUAUGUGGGCGUAGACCCGAAACCGUGUGAUCUACCCCUGUCCAGGGUGAAGGUGCGGUAACACGCACUGGAGGCCCGAACCCACGUAUGUUGAAAAAUGCGGGGAUGAGGUGGGGGUAGCGGAGAAAUUCCAAUCGAACUCGGAGAUAGCUGGUUCUCCCCGAAAUAGCUUUAGGGCUAGCCUCGGAAUGAAGAGUCGUGGAGGUAGAGCACUGAUUGGGUGCGGGGCCCGCAAGGGUUACCAAGCUCAGUCAAACUCCGAAUGCCAUAGACUUAUAUCCGGGAGUCAGACAGUGAGUGCUAAGAUCCAUUGUCAAAAGGGAAACAGCCCAGACCAUCAGCUAAGGUCCCCAAGUGUGUGUUAAGUGGGAAAGGAUGUGGAGUUGCACAGACAACCAGGAUGUUGGCUUAGAAGCAGCCACCAUUUAAAGAGUGCGUAAUAGCUCACUGGUCGAGUGACUCUGCGCCGAAAAUGUAACGGGGCUAAACACACCACCGAAGCUAUGGCUUGANNNNNNNNNNNNNNNNNNNNNNNNNNNNNNNNNNNNNNNNNNNNNNNNNNNNNNNNNNNNNNNNNNNNNNNNNNNNNNNNNNNNNNNNNNNNAGAAGUGAGAAUGCCGGUAUGAGUAGCGCAAGAUAAGUGAGAAUCUUAUCCACCGUAAGACUAAGGUUUCCAGGGGAAGGCUCGUCCGCCCUGGGUUAGUCGGGACCUAAGGCGAGGCCGAAAGGCGUAGUCGAUGGACAACUGGUUGAUAUUCCAGUACUAGAUAUGAUCGUGAUGGAGGGACGCAGUAGGCUAAGAGAUGCCAGUUAAUGGAUUCUGGUCUAAGCAGUGAGGUGUGAGAUGUGUCAAAUGCAUUUCUCUUUAACAUUGAGCUGUGAUGGGGAAGCAACUACGGUUGCGAACUCUCUGAUGUCACACUGCCAAGAAAAGCUUCUAGCGUAAAGUCAUAUCUACCCGUACCGCAAACCGACACAGGUAGUCGAGGCGAGUAGCCUCAGGUGAUCGAGAGAACUCUCGUUAAGGAACUCGGCAAAAUAGCCCCGUAACUUCGGGAGAAGGGGUGCUGGUGUAAAAGCCAGCCGCAGUGAAUAGGCCCAAGCAACUGUUUAUCAAAAACACAGCUCUCUGCUAAACCGCAAGGUGAUGUAUAGGGGGUGACGCCUGCCCGGUGCUGGAAGGUUAAGAGGAGUGCUUAGACGUAAGUCGAAGGUAUGAAUUGAAGCCCCAGUAAACGGCGGCCGUAACUAUAACGGUCCUAAGGUAGCGAAAUUCCUUGUCGGGUAAGUUCCGACCCGCACGAAAGGCGUAACGACUUCUCGACUGUCUCAACCAUAGGCCCGGUGAUAUUGCACUACGAGUAAAGAUGCUCGUUUCGCGCAGCAGGACGGAUAGACCCCGGGACCUUUACUACAGUUUGAUAUUGGUGUUCGGUUCGGCUUGUGUAGGAUAGGUGGGAGACUGUGAAACUGUGACGCCAGUCAUGGUGGAGUCGUCGUUGAAAUACCACUCUGGUCGUGCUGGAUGUCUAACCUGGGUCCGUGAUCCGGAUCAGGGACAGUGUCUGAUGGGUAGUUUAACUGGGGCGGUUGCCUCCUAAAGGGUAACGGAGGCGCCCAAAGGUUCCCUCAGCCUGGUUGGCAAUCAGGUGUUGAGUGUAAGUGCACAAGGGAGCUUGACUGUGAGACCGACGGGUCGAGCAGGGACGAAAGUCGGGACUAGUGAUCCGGCGGUGGCUUGUGGAAGCGCCGUCGCUCAACGGAUAAAAGGUACCCCGGGGAUAACAGGCUGAUCUUCCCCAAGAGUCCAUAUCGACGGGAUGGUUUGGCACCUCGAUGUCGGCUCGUCGCAUCCUGGGGCUGGAGUCGGUCCCAAGGGUUGGGCUGUUCGCCCAUUAAAGCGGUACGCGAGCUGGGUUCAGAA